GGGUUAACGCCUUCGGGCACAAUCCCCACCCUUUGUAACCGCGGCCCGGAUUCGGCGCCUGGCGGGGACCGCCCCCCGUUCGCGGGGGGUCCCCGCCUGCCGGAAUUAGCCAACCUGCCUAGAAAAUUUGAAGUCUGAGAACAAGUUAAAUUAAACAAAACUUUCAACAACGGAUCUCUUGGUUCU
rnacentral:misc_RNA from 1 species